UACGUAGGGGGCAAGCGUUGUCCGGAUUUAUUGGGCGUAAAGCGCGCGUAGGCGGCGCGGUAUGUCGUGCGUGAAAUCUCCCGGCUUAACUGGGAGGGGCCGUGCGAAACUGCCGGGCUUGAGGUCGGAAGGGGAAAGUGGAAUUCCGGGUGUAGUGGUGGAAUACGUAGAUAUCCGGAGGAACACCAGCGGCGAAGGCGGCUUUCUGGUCCGAUACUGACGCUGAGGUGCGAAAGCGUGGGUAGCAAACAGG
rnacentral:rRNA from 1 species